UACGUAGGCAGCAAGCGUUGUUCGGAGUUACUGGGCGUAAAGGGUGUGUAGGCGGUCUUCUAAGUUUGGUGUGAAAUCUCCCGGCUCAACUGGGAGGGUGCGCCGAAAACUGGGAGGCUAGAGUACUGGAUGGGAGAGUGGAAUUCCUGGUGUAGCGGUGAAAUGCGUAGAUAUCAGGAGGAACACCGGUGGUGUAGACGGCUCUCUGGACAGUAACUGACGCUGAGACACGAAAGCGUGGGUAGCAAACAGA
rnacentral:rRNA from 1 species